UAGGGAAUCUUCCACAAUGGACGCAAGUCUGAUGGAGCAACGCCGCGUGAGUGAAGAAGGUUUUCGGAUCGUAAAGCUCUGUUGUUGGUGAAGAAGGAUAGAGGCAGUAACUGGUCUUUAUUUGACGGUAAUCAACCAGAAAGUCACGGCUAACUACGUGCCAGCAGCCGCGGUAAUACGUAGGUGGCAAGCGUUGUCCGGAUUUAUUGGGCGUAAAGCGAGCGCAGGCGGAAUGAUAAGUCUGAUGUGAAAGCCCACGGCUCAACCGUGGAACUGCAUCGGAAACUGUCAUUCUUGAGUGCAGAAGAGGGGAGUGGAAUUCCAUGUGUAGCGGUGGAAUGCGUAGAUAUAUGGAAGAACACCAGUGGCGAAGGCGGCUCUCUGGUCUGCAACUGACGCUGAGGCUCGAAAGCAUGGGUAGCGAGCAGG
rnacentral:rRNA from 1 species